rnacentral:misc_RNA from 1 species
UUUUUUUUUUUUGACCUCAUACUAAUAACUUUACUAAAACAAAAUUGUUGAGAGGUUCAAGUAGAAGAAAAACAACAUUUUGCCACAGAAGGAACUGAAACAUCAGUAAUUGAGCAAGCCAACCCAAGGACCAAUUCCUGACAUGCAAUGUAAAAGUAGAUGAAUAAUCAUCAGGCCUAUACUUAAAGAAAAUAAGAAUUCUAUGUUGGAGGAGGAGGGAUAAAGAAUUGAGGUUGCAGCCCUUAAACCAUUGUAUUGAUUUUCCUGUCCUAGUAUAGUUUUGAACCUAUAUUCUAAGCCUUGGCCACCUUCGCAGCGAUACCCAUGAAUAAAAUUAAAAGGAUUCACCUUUAUUGGCUAGCAAUGGCCGGAUAGGAAAUUUGACCAUAAACAGAGUUGAACGGAGGAAACCAGCUUUGAUUAGUUUGGGAUGAGGCUUAGUCGAUUUGAAUUGUAUUGCCAUUGGAUAUUUUUAAGUUAUUCACUGAAAAAUGCUACUCACUGAGCAAUCAUCAUGAACACGCCAAAUUGUUUCGCCCAACAGAUUAGCUACUGAAAGAAUGGUCAACUGAGGGAAAUAGUUCUUCUCAGCCACUGGAAUUGUGUUUGUAAUGAUCACUUCUUGAAACAGGCCACUUGACAACCUCUCAAUGGCAGGAGGGCUAAAAACAGCAUGAGUGCAGCAUGCAUAGACUUCCCUGGCCCCUUCUUGGUGUAAAAGGGCUGCUCCUUUUGCAAUUGUCCCAGCUGUGUCAAUCAUGUCAUCCAC